rnacentral:lncRNA from 1 species
AUGAAUCUGGACACGUUGUUUACCGCCACAGGCAACGUCUCCCGGAUUUUCCACUUUGGCUUUUACUGCAUUCCUCUUGCACUUUUUGGUCCUGUGGGAACUCCACGCUUGGUUUUGAGAAUUUUAAUAUGCUGUUGUGUGAGACAUCAACACAGUAUUAAAUUUCGUUCUUUGUAUGUAAAUAUUUCAUCUUCCCGGGACACACAGUUACAAAACAAAACAAGGUAAUCCUGCCAUACUCAAUAUGGUGGAUGAAUCUGGAAGACAUUAUGGUAAGUGAAAUAAGCCAACCCCCGAAGGAUGAAUACAGCAACAUUUCCUGCAUGUGAAGUUUCAGAGCAGCCAAAGAAAGAAGCAAGAAGUAGAAGGAGACAGCUGGGCUGGCAAUGGAAAGCAAGGAGGUGGAGGUUCAGUUGGUGAGGUGAGUAACUUUUGCAGAUCUGCUGGGCAGCGAGGUAUUCCUUCUCAGCAUCCAGCCAUGGAUUCAAAACAUUAGCAGUUGCACUCAUAAGAGGAUACCAGACAUAAAACAAAAGAUACCCAGCAUACAAUCCACAACCACGGAGAAGCUAGGCCUCUCCUCCAGAAACAGAUGGAAGCAGAUGCAGAAAUCCACAACUAACCAAUGGGCCAAGCUCCUGGAGUACAAUUGAAGUGAAGGAGGAGGGAAAAUAUGGACACAGGAGUCAAGACUGUGAUGGGGAAACCCACAGAAUCAGCUGACCUGAGCCACUGAGAGAUCAGUGACUCAGGUCUGACAAAUGGGGAACCUGCAGAAGACCAAACUAGACUCCCUUAAUAUAGGUGGCAAUGGUGUGACUGGGAAUUAUAUGAGGGCAGUGGCAGUGGGUCCAAGACCUAACACUAAUGCACAGACUGACUUAGUGGAGCCCAUUCUAUAUGGAGAGAUACCUUGCCCAGCCUAGAUACAGGGUGUGGAGAGGUGCCUUGGUCCUGCCUGAACUAGAUGAUGGGACAGACUUGGAGACUUCCUAGGGGAGGCAUCACCUUCUCUGUGGAGCAGAUGGAAGGCAGGAGAGUGGGGUGAGUGAGAGGAAAGGAGGGAGGGGGGAAUUGGGAUUGGAAUGUAAAGAAUAAAUUAAAAAAAAACUUUAGCA